rnacentral:tRNA from 1 species
CUGUGGUUGGGGCUCAGUGGCAGAGCACUUGCCUAGCAUGUGUGAGGCACUAGGUUCGAUCCUCAGUACCACAUA